CAGUCGCCGCGGGAAUACGGAGGGUGCAAGCGUUAAUCGGAAUUACUGGGCGUAAAGCGCACGCAGGCGGUCUGUCAAGUCGGAUGUGAAAUCCCCGGGCUCAACCUGGGAACUGCAUUCGAAACUGGCAGGCUAGAGUCUUGUAGAGGGGGGUAGAAUUCCAGGUGUAGCGGUGAAAUGCGUAGAGAUCUGGAGGAAUACCGAUGGCGAAGGCAGCCAUCUGGCCUAAUACUGACGCUGAGGUACGAAAGCAUGGGGAGCAAACAGGAUUAGAUACCCCUGUAGUCCCUGUCUCUUAUAC
rnacentral:rRNA from 1 species